rnacentral:lncRNA from 1 species
AUGAAUAGCAGUGAUGGGCAUUCUGAACAGCCGGGGACUCACGACUCCGCGCUUGCCUCACGGCUGAACGGCUGUUGCGGCCGUGGCGGGAGCCGCAUGGUGAUCUGUACCUCUCUGCCUGGGCCGCUAGUCCGAUCCGUGCCAGGGCCACAGCUAUGGAAGCCUGCUCUCGUCUGCAACCCUGACAUCGCAGGCUCCCAGGACUGUCCCAUUCGCCGGCACCACGAAGCAGACCCUGUCGCUCCCCCUGUGGCACAGGACAAAAGUGAGGCACAGAGGAGCGACACGCUUUCCCAGACCUGGGGCUCAUCAGGGGUCAGGGCCGCAGUGCCUUCCAGGACAGAGGUCACAUGCGGAGCUUCACAGCCUCGCCCGGAUGUGUGCUGGGGACACGAGGACGCCCCAUCUGGUCACCCCCUCAUCCCCACCUCGACUCCACAGGAAGUAGGAGGAUAUCUGAAAUUUGGACACAUUAAAUAUCAUGGGUUUAGCCUGGCGUGAUGGCGCACACCUGUAAUCCCAGCACUCGGGAGGCUGAGGCAGGAUGAUCUCUGUGAGUUCGAGACCACCCUGAGCUACAUAGUUCCAGGUAAGUAUCAACUACAUAGUGAGACCCUGUCUCAAAAAUAAAUAAAUUCUGAUAAUGAGAUAAGUUUAUUUUGUUGUCCCCACAUGUUCUGUUAUAGGUUGGCAUGGUAAGACACCGCCAAAUCGGCAGCUCUCCUGUGGCCCUGCGCAUCCCCUACUCCCCUCCUCAGCCCCAGGACUGCAAGUCCCCAGACGGCCCCCGCUCCGCGGUUUUCCAAAGGCGCUCACGCAGGGAGUGGGCCUGGUGUGGCUCUCAGCUGUGCCGAAUGCCACAGUGGUGAGGGAAUUGUUUGUCUCGGGCCAGGAGAUGCCAAUGCCGUGACAGGCCGUGUGCAGGCUGCUGCUGGUGCAGUCGGGGCUGUGCUUCCUGACAUUCACGCAGGCCCGUUUGCUGCUGGCGUGAGCAGAGCCUCCCGGCGUUCCUUCCUCAGGGUGGUGUGUAACAAUGCCAAGUGCUUGAAAUCAUCCGCCAGGAAUCUCAGCAACCAGCCCAGAGCUCUGCGGGCACAUCCGGCCCACAGGAAGGUCCUAACCUGCUCGCCCUUAGAGCCCACGGACUCCCCGAAAGCAGAAAGCACACCGGAGUGCCAUGGUUUCCACCCUGUGUCCACUGAACCCUGCUAUGGCCAGUGGGUGCCCGAGAUGUCGGAGACAGCUGAUCCCCCAGGACCUCCGUCUGCCAGGGGUGACGUAGAUGCUGAAGCAGCAGCAGGCGCCCCAAGUGCUAGAGCGCGAGGCAGGGACAGGAGGAGCAGGGAGUAGCAGGGCCAGCGCUGAGCCCUGGGGUAGGAUGGGGAACCCGCCUGGCCGGGAAGGAAGGGUAGGACACCAGGGAGCGGGCUCCACAUCCAGGGAGGUGGAGGCACAGCCCACAUGGUUCCUCAGAGCACAGCUGAGGCAGGAGGGUGCACCUGAGUAGGCACCGACACAGGCCCUGUUUGUUGUGUGGACGGACUGGAUUAAUCCUGCAAACCAGCAGUUCAUCCAGCCUCAAGGGCUCACCGACCUUUAUUUAACUUGGGGUGGGCCUCAUCCUUAUACAUGAGUGGUUUUUCCCUCCUCGGAGCCCUGGGGAUUGAAUGCUAGGCAAGCACUCUACCACUACAUUACAUCCCCAGCCUUUUCUGCUUUGCAUUUUGCGACAGGGUCUCACCCAGGCUGACCUUGAACUUGCAAUCUUCCUGCCUCAGCCUCCCAAGUAGCACUAUAGGCCUGCAGCAGGAGGCCUGGCUAAGGUUGAACUGUGAAGGUUAGUGAGCUAGCGUAUGCAGAGGGCUUUGCAUGGCACCUGGUGAACAGCAAGUACGCCUCGCUGCUGGUUCUCAUCCUUUUGGGUUCAGCCUCCUUUGAGAGCAGGUAAAUAUUCUCCUCAGAUGCAAGGUUUUGUGUACAAUGCAAUAGGGCUCACCGUUUCUUUUCUUUCUUUCUUUUUUUUGAGACAGGGUCUCACUGCAUAGUCUCGACUGGCCUUGAACUUACUGUAUGGCCCAGGAUGGCCUCAAACUUGCAGUCAUCUUCCUGCCUCAGCUUCCUGAGAGCUGGGCAUAUAGGUAUGCACCGACAUGCUCGGCCUCACCUAUUUGCUGAAACGAUUCCAAGUUAAGAAUCCUGCCAUGAGACACAGGUACUUAUCUGAAGCCAUUUAAGACACUUAUUUCAGAUUCACUGCAAAAUCAAGGAAGAUGCAGAGACUCCCACCAAACCUACUGUCCUCACACACCAGCAGCAUCUACCGCUAUUGACAUGUGCCAAUGUGUCGCCCCCGGAGGGAUGUCAACAGAGUACGUCCCAGCCCCACAGAGCCCUGGGUGCUCAUCUGAAGUUUAAAAUCAGGAGAGUCUGACAUCGGAUUAAACUUUUUUUUUCUGAAGAGAAAUAGCAGAAAUGGAGAAGGAAAUCAUCAUUGGUUCUUGGACUGGGCUGUACAUUAUGAAAGCAUCUGUAGAGAUUUUUAGAGACAUCAGUGCCCCGCCUUCUGGUUUAAUGAACCUGGAGGGGGCUGGGCAUUAGGACUUCUAGAAUGUUCUAGGUGAGUCUGUGCUGAGGUGUCACUCAGCGGGAAGCGCUUGCCUGGCACACACAAGGUCCUGAGGUCACCAGGGGAGGCCAGAGACGACACAGGAAGGCCGGUCAGGAUACCCCGAGGGUGGGCCUGGUGUGACCACGGUGUGAUGGCCAUGAGGCGAGCCACAUUGCAGGGGGUCACCGAGGAAGAAAGCGAGGAAGCAGGCGAGCGUCUGGGGAGCUCGGGGUGAAGGUAGUGAAGCGGCGGUGGGGAGGGGGCCCAGGCCUUUUUGCUGGAAGGGCAUCGCUGUCGUCUGGUCUGCCUGAGGGAAGGGAGCGGGGCCAGAGCAGCUGUGGGGAGCAGAGCAGGGAGGAACUGUCCAGAGCUUUGCAGAGGCCGCUGGAGCUGCUCGGACUAGCACGGGCUGCUUGCUUCUCUGAGCCGCAGGUGAAGACGUUUCUGGAAGGGUGCAGGCCUCCUCUCUGAGAAGGGGGGAUUCCAGUCCCACCCAGGAUCCCCCUUUCCAGGCCCAGCUCCUGGAACUCAGCCUAAUGCUCCUGCCCUCGAAUGCGGCUACCGCUCCCGGACUGGAGGCAGCAGGACCUGAGGGCCCCACCUGGUCACCGUCGCAGUCCUGAGGCACUGCUCUGAGUCCCUGCUGUUCGUGGAGCCCUAGGCACAGCUGGGAAAGAGCGGCUGUGGGGACGGGGCCAGCCGGGACAGCUGCGCUACCUUUCCCUGCAGGGGCGCCUCCUCUGCUGCCCCAGAGCUCACAGCGGCCCUGGCUUCUGGCUACAUCACCGUUGGUCAGGGUUCCUGGAGGAACAGAAAUGGGUAGGAGGUGAGUGCAGAAUCGGGCACGGGUUUGUCACGCAGGCGGGAGAGCCCGCAGUGGGUGCCUUCGUGCUCAGCUGCAGAAGCCGAAGAGCAGGAGGGCAAGGGACACGGCACCAGUUCAAAGGCCUGGACACUCCCGGUGGACCCCAGGGUGGGUCUGUGGGUCUGUGAGGGAGGCUGAAGACACUGGAGACCGGUGUCCCGAGGCCAUGGCCGCAAGAGGUGCGCCUGGCAGGAAGACAAAUCCGCCAGCUUCCCUUUCCCUUUCUUGUUCCACCCAGGCCACCGCAGCGAGGCCCGCGUGUCGCUCACCCACAGACGACUGCAGACUGUGCUGCUAGCACAGCUCAUCUGCCAGGUGUCUCUGAACCCCUGGUCCCCCGAGUGCCAUCCAUCAGGAAAUCCUUGACUCUUGUCUCCAGAAGCAGCCGGAACUGAUCUGCUUCCUGCCUCGAGUUGGGCCAAAUGUGCUCACAGUGGGGUUUGCAGAGGAGCCUCACGUCACGGGGUGAGGGGUCAUCUGUAAUGCCAAGUUCUGGGGUCCCCUUCAGGCUCAGGGACUUGGGCGUGGGCCCCGCGCUCUGGUGCCUGCUGACGUCUGAGAAGGGCCACUCUGCUGCAGGCCCGCAUGGGCUCUGGUGCAAACUGCCUCGAUGUCCCCCACUGUCCCCCACAUACUGACCUGUCCUCUGUCACACACUCCUAGUGGCAUGAAUGAUGUUUUCAGAGACAGCCCCGAUUCUGUCGCAGGAAGCCUGCCCUGGUCUCCAGCAGGACCUGUCCAUCGGCCUCAGCAGAGCCUCCCUGUCUACGCCAGCUCCGGGGAAGGGCGUAUUCCGUUCGUAGAUGCCAGCUGGUCCCCAACAUGGGACGUUGGCCCUGGCUGCUCCCUGCACCUUCAGGUGCUCAGGCUGUGACCUCAGGACCUGCUUUGUACUUACUUGAUGUAACUGGCAACUUCCUCGGGGAAACCUCGGCCGGUUCAUGAGCCACAGGAGCCCUCCUUACCGAACUCCAGCAUGUAACCCUCAGCAGAGCACCUGAUGACCAUGAUGUUUCAUUUUUAUUUAUUUAUUUGUUUGUUUGUUUAUUUAUUUAUUUAUUUUGCUAUUGGGGAUCAAACUCAGGAACCUUGUGUUUGCAAGGCAGGCAGCGACACAACUGAGCUCCAUCCUGGCCUCCUCUUUAUUUCUUGUCUCAGGCAAUGUGGGUUUUACAAGACAUGGACCGGGUUUAUCUUGGUGCCCUGCACCUGGCAUACAGUAGGUGUUCAGUGUGUAUUUGCUGCACGCACACAGGAAGGGAUGGAGGGAUGGACUCACCUCAUCCUCACUUGUGGCUCUAAGUUGUCACCCUGAACCGGUGACCCCUCACACAGUUGAGUUUUGGGGGCCUCCAGUCUGUGAGCUGUGGGGUCCCCUGUGACCACGGUGCCAAAGGAGGUGGGAAUGCAGGAGGGUAUGAGGCUACUCCAGGCGUUUCAUGAUGGUGUCACGGGAGAAGCAGGGCAGCCGCGAAGCUCGCAGUCUGCGCCUCCAGGACCUGACCUGGUCUCCCUGAGCCACGGCUCCGCGGUCACGUGAUCCUUUGCCCUGGGCGUCCUCGGCGGCUGCCUGGACUCUCCUUUCAGCUUUAGUGGGUUUGAGUCGUGUUUCUGUCACCUCCUGUGCAGAGACGUGUGAGGAUCACUCUGAGGAGCUCAGCGGUUGUGAACCUCACCCUGGACACCAGCCUUGUGAACUCCAGGGGUCGAGGCCGGCCACCCUCCACAGAGUGACAGAGUGUGGGGCCCAAGGACAUAGUUACCAGCUAAGUGGCCUCAGGGACAUCUCUGGGACCCUCCAUCAGCUCCUCUCUGUCCAGUGUAUGAAAUGCUGAGAGCAAGGAGCAUGAGUCGGGAUUAGACAGUUACAUCCCGGGGCAGCAGCUGCUGCGAGGCCCAGCUCAGCAAGUCCAGCCUCAUGACCUCCUUCCUCCCUCUCCGUCAGCGUCACCCAUGGCCUGGUCUUGGGGUGCAAUACGCACUAGCCAUCCAUGGCCUCACAUUUCUUUUCACAGCAAU